AUAAACAGAACACUUUUCAGAUAUAGCAUUUCAUAUCUUAUUUUUCUGUCUGCUCUGCAGUUCUUAUCAUUCUUCCUUUAAGCCUUGCUAAUUCCUCUACUUGGUGUCUCCUUUUUAACCAGUUUCUUCUUUUUGCUCUCUCCAUUUUACUGUUUCUUCUUCAACUUUUUGAAGUGCUCAGUGCCUUAGCACCAAAGAAUGUCAAGAAAAAAAAAUUAUAUCAAAGUUUUUUCUAAAGAAAAAAAAAUUUAUCAAAAUGAAGAAAAAUGAGUUACAAUGGCAGAGGCUAAAGUUUUUUUAAUAGACUUUUUCUCCUACUCUCAGGUGUUGUGGCCCUUUCUCUUAUCCUGACUGGUGAUCCACUUAGCUUUUCCUUGUAUGUGAAUGGUUGAUUUAACAUAAAAUAGAUGGAAGGACCAGGGCCAACCUUUUCUUUCCCCUGACCAAGUCUUUCUAUUUUGAAAUUCAGAUAUCAGGGCCCCAACAGCUAGUUAUAGAUCCAUUUGGAAUUUGUAGCAGGCAUGGCAACUCAAAGUUUCCUAUCUCACUCUCUCUCUCAUCCCUAUUUGGAUAAAGAUUAUCCUCUAUCAGAAGAUACAAUGCAAGACCAAACUAAGAGGAUAGAAGAUGAACAAUAUACUGAUUACCUACAUUUGAAUUCAUUCUACACAUUUUUCUCAAAGUAAAUUCCAUGCAAUUGAUUAACAAUAAUUUAUUUUCCGAUAACCCAAGGAAAAAUAAUAAUGAAGUUUCUUAUAUAACGAACUUCUGCCUGGAUUAGGCAACUUCUCUACAUUGCAGUUUAAUCAAAAUUUCCCUUUGAAGACCUAAUUUAAUCAAUUUUAAUGCAUUUCUCCUAAAAAAAUGUUGAUAAGUUUCCAAAAUAAACUAUGUUAGUAUUUAUUGACAAACCUGUGAAACCUGUUUAGCAACAGUAUUUAGAAUAGACUUCCACCUGAGACAUGAGCGGAUCCUGAUAAUUUUCCCUUUGAGCCUUGUGCUCCAUC
rnacentral:lncRNA from 1 species